GAUGAACGCUAGCUACAGGCUUAACACAUGCAAGUCGAGGGGCAGCAUGAACUUAGCUUGCUAAGUUUGAUGGCGACCGGCGCACGGGUGAGUAACACGUAUCCAACCUGCCGAUGACUCGGGGAUAGCCUUUCGAAAGAAAGAUUAAUACCCGAUGGCAUAGUUCUUCCGCAUGGUAGAACUAUUAAAGAAUUUCGGUCAUCGAUGGGGAUGCGUUCCAUUAGGUUGUUGGCGGGGUAACGACCCACCAAGCCUUCGAUGGAUAGGGGUUCUGAGAGGAAGGUCCCCCACAUUGGAACUGAGACACGGUCCAAACUCCUACGGGAGGCAGCAGUGAGGAAUAUUGGUCAAUGGACGAGAGUCUGAACCAGCCAAGUAGCGUGAAGGAUGACUGCCCUAUGGGUUGUAAACUUCUUUUAUACGGGAAUAAAGUGAGGCACGUGUGCCUUUUUGUAUGUACCGUAUGAAUAAGGAUCGGCUAACUCCGUG
rnacentral:rRNA from 1 species